UACGGGGGGGGUAAGCGUUGUUCGGAAGUACUGGGCGUAAAGGGCUCGUAGGCGGCCAACUAAGUCGGACGUGAAAUCCCUCAGCUUAACUGGGGAACUGCGUCUGAUACUGGAUGGCUUGGAUUUGGGAGAGGGAUGCGGAAUUCCAGGUGUAGCGGUGAAAUGCGUAGAUAUCUGGAGGAACACCGGUGGCGAAGGCAGCUCGCUGGGACGGUACUGACGCUGAGACGCGAAAGCGUGGGGAGCAAACAGG
rnacentral:rRNA from 1 species